rnacentral:rRNA from 1 species
UACGUAGGGUGCGAGCGUUACUCGGCAUUACUGGGCGUAAAGCGUGCGCAGGCGGUGAUGUAAGACAGGUGUGAAAUCCCCGGGCUUAACCUGGGAACUGCAUUUGUGACUGCAUCGCUGGAGUGCGGCAGAGGGGGAUGGAAUUCCGCGUGUAGCAGUGAAAUGCGUAGAUAUGCGGAGGAACACCGAUGGCGAAGGCAAUCCCCUGGGCCUGCACUGACGCUCAUGCACGAAAGCGUGGGGAGCAAACAGG